rnacentral:tRNA from 1 species
GCCGAUGUAGUACAAAUGGUUAGUACAAUUCUCUCAUGUAGAAUAGAAAAAGGUUCAAUUCCUUUCAUGGGCC